UACGGAGGGUGCGAGCGUUGUCCGGAAUCACUGGGCGUAAAGGGCGCGUAGGCGGCCUGAUAAGUAGGGGGUGAAAUCCUGCGGCUUAACCGCAGGGCUGCCUUCUAAACUGUCAGGCUAGGGCACAGUAGAGGCAGGUGGAAUUCCCGGUGUAGCGGUGGAAUGCGUAGAGAUCGGGAAGAACAUCAGUGGCGAAGGCGGCCUGCUGGGCUGUUGCUGACGCUGAGGCGCGAGCAGCGGUGGGGAGCAAACAGG
rnacentral:rRNA from 1 species